UACGAGGGGGGCAAGCGUUGUUCGGAAUUACUGGGCGUAAAGGGUGCGUAGGCGGCGCGGUAAGUCGGGUGUGAAAUCUCGGAGCUUAACUCCGAAACUGCAUUCGAUACUGCCGUGCUUGAGGACUGGAGAGGGAUGCAGAAUUCCAGGUGAUAGCGGUGAAAUGCGUGAGAUAUCUGGAGGAAUACCGGUGGCGAAGGCGGCAUCCUGGACCGACAUUGACGCUGAGGAGCGAAAGCUAGGGGAGCAAACGGG
rnacentral:rRNA from 1 species